GACAGAGGCCCCAAGCGUUAGGCGGAAUCACUGGGCUUAAAGCGUGUGUAGGCGGACGCCUAAGUGUCUUGUGAAAUCCCACGGCUCACCCGUGGAACUGCUGGGCAUACUGGGCGUCUUGAGCCACCUAGGGGCCAGCGGAACAAAUGGUGGAGCGGUGAAAUGCGUAGAUAUCAUUUGGAACGCCAACGGUGAAAACAGCUGGCUGGGGGUGUGCUGACGCUGAGACACGAAAGCCAGGGGAGCGAACAGG
rnacentral:rRNA from 1 species